rnacentral:rRNA from 1 species
AUUGAACGCUGGCGGAAUGCUUUACACAUGCAAGUCGAGCGGCAGCGCGGGGGCAACCCUGGCGGCGAGCGGCGAACGGGUGAGUAACAUAUCGGAACGUACCCCGUCGUGGGGAUAACACAGCGAAAGCUGUGCUAAUACCGCAUACGACCUGAGGGUGAAAGCGGGGGAUCGCAAGACCUCGCGCGAUGGGAGCGGCCGAUAUCGGAUUAGCUUGUUGGUGAGGUAAAGGCUCACCAAGGCGACGAUCCGUAGCUGGUCUGAGAGGACGACCAGCCACACUGGAACUGAGACACGGCCCAGACUCCUACGGGAGGCAGCAGUGGGGAAUUUUGGACAAUGGGCGAAAGCCUGAUCCAGCCAUGCCGCGUGAGUGAAGAAGGCCU